rnacentral:lncRNA from 1 species
CUAAGCUUUUUAGCUUCCUAACUAGGACAGAUUGUUUUAUCUAUACAAUCUGUCAUAGAAGCUAUUAUAUGUUGGAAACUCUGGAAGAUCUAUAAUUACCCUUAACACUCAGCUCUACUUUGCUGUCAAACAAACACAUUGCUAGGAGGAUCACCUCAACCUGUAGGAACUUCCUUCCUGCCAAGAAGCUGGUUCAUUCAUCACCAAGCAUCAUCAUCAUGGAAUUCUCACCCUGCUGGAGGUUCGAGCCAAGACAUAGAAAGAGGACAUUACCUGGGGCAGGAAUCAAUUGCCUAUCACUGGGGAUGCCUGCAGAUCAUUGUCCAGAGUGGCUGCUGUUCACUGAGUGUUUCCUCUGUGCCGGGCACCUUGCACACCUUAUUUUCAGUCUCCGCAGCUGCCUUGUUGAGGUUGGCUCUCUAUGCUUCUGUUUCACAGUUGGGGAAACUGAGGUUCAGAGAUGUGAAUUAAUUUUCUCAAAGUAACAUUAGGUAUUGGUAAGAUUUCAUUUAUCCAUUCACUAUUAAAUAUUAUUAAGUAAUUACAGUGCUUUAAGAACUCCAUGUAAAUGGUGGAUUUGAGGCCAAACUUUAAAAGCUGAAUUACAUAAGGAGUUAACAUUGCAAAAAGCUUAGAAAUUUAUGUUCCAGGUGGAGCGAACAGAGGUUGUGUCUUUUCGGUUACAAGUAAUAAAAUCCAGAGGCUAUCUCAAGGGAAAAAUAAAGCACUAGAUGGUCUACCAAAGAUAGAGGGGCAGGUGGAUUUUGGGAAGGGGCAAGAGUGAACAGCUAGAAAAAUGUGGCUUACGUUUUCUGUCUUAUCUGCCCCUUAGCUUCAUAACUUUCUUUUUCUCAUGUGUAGAGUGAUCAAAGAUGACCACCACCAAACUUUCAUAUUAAAGAUUAAAACACAAAAAUAGGCCAGACAGAGUGGCUCAUGCCUGUAAUCCCAGCAUCUUGAGAGGGUGAGGCAGAAGGAUCGCUUGAGCCCAGGAGUUUAGGUUCAGCCUGGGCAACAUAGCAAGAUCCUGUCACUAUAAAUAGUAACAAGAUUAGGUGGACAUUAUGGUUCAUACCUGUGGUCCCAGCUCUUCAGGGGGCUGAGGCAGGAAGAUCCCUUGAGCUCAGAAGUUUGAGG